AUCCUGUACCUCGUCUGUAAUGUUAGGUCUAUGACAAACAGGUUGCCAAUGACAACCUCGUUUAUGAUGACACGAACUUUUAUCGACUGUCAAAUCCAUUGGGUCUAUUUUAUAAUUUAUCCGAUAUAGCAUUUGAAGAGUUACACUUAUUAAAAGUCGGGAAAUAAUAAUGUCUCAAUGGCAUUGGAAUCACGACAGUGCUUCGGAUAGAUCGAGUGCAAAGAAGAGACCGUCCACGGGUAUAGCUACACCGCAAAAUAAAUUCGAAAGAUCUAGCAGAACAAUAAAAAAUGAAUUGGGUGGAUCGUACGUCGCUUCUGGAAAUAAUCGUCCUGCAACACCUGGUCAAAAUGUUCUGGCAAGGCCACCAUCAACAUCAGUUUUGUUUAACCCAAUACAAACUGACAGUUCACGAUUAACCACAUCAUCGAGGAAUUCUCCUCAUUUAAACACAGGUCACAUGAAUAUAAACAUUAUGGAAAGACCAAUUACUCAGCAUGGAGUAGCAGGUGUUAGACCCGGGACAUGCAAAGGAUUGUCGAUGACAAGACAAAUUCAAGAUAAGAGAUAUUACAUUGGUAUUAUGCAACUAAAGAUAAGGGAAUUAAAUCAAGAAAUUUCCAUUAUUACAAAAGAUAUUGAAUAUCAAAAUAAAGAAAAAGCCACCUACCUACAUUAUGAUAAGAGAGCUAAAGAUUUAGCAACAGAAUUGACAGCUUUGCAAGGGCAGUUAGCAGACUAUAAUAUCGUUGUAGAUAAAAUGACAUCCGACGUUGGAAAGGAAGUCAUUGAUCAGGAAACUGAAGAAUUGGCAACAAAGAACGAACAAAGUUUAUUACAGAUUGAAAAUAUGUUUGAAAAAAGGAAGGAAUUGGAACAACAAUUAAGUAGGAUAGAAAAACAACUAGAGAACGAAAAGAAGAGAACAGAAAGGCUAAUUGAAAGCAUGGACUCGAAUACAAGAGAGAAAUAUGAUAAGCUGUUGAAAGAAAAAGCAAGUUUAGAAGAAAAAGCAAAUAAAAUGCAGCAAGAAUUGGACGAGUUAUACAAAGAGCAAAUGUCUUUGGAGGAAGAAAUAGCACUGUCUCCUUUAAAACAGGAAGCAGUUAAGUUACAUCUUAAAAUUCUAGAAAUGGAAGAGAAAAGAGGAAAGCUACAGCAGGAAGAGAGGCACAGAAUUUCGCCGGAAGAAGAAAAAGAAAAAUUAUUACACAAAAUUAAGCAACACAAUAUAGACAUCGCAGCUGCAGAAGCAUUAUUAACUGAGAAGAAGAAGCGUAUUCAAGAAACAGAACAGGAACUUGAACAGUUGGAAACUGAUAUAGAGGACAACCAAUCUGAAAAACAAAUUAAAUAUAAAGAACUUCGUAAGCGAGAAGAAAUCAUGGAACAAUUUAUGUGUUCUUUCGAGCAAAAUAAACAGGUUGAAACAAAAAAAUUGUACGAACUAGAGACAACGGUAAUCGAAUAUUUGAAGGAUAUUUCAAAUAUUCUGGAUGUCGAUGUAGAUUUUGUAGGCGGCGAUGAAAUGGCUAUAUUGAAUAGUGUAUCUUCUCACAAUGAAUAUAAUAAGGAUCAGAGUUUGGAAGGAUUAAGGAAAGAAAAUUUAAAGUCGCAGCAAAUUUUAAGUAAAAUGAAGAUGUUAGAGCAGAAACUUAAAGUAGAAUUUACUGACCUUAACGAAAAAAUAAAUAAUAAAGAAAACAAAUUAAUGGUUUUAGAAGACGUAGACAGUCUAAAAACUAAAUUGACAAUACAAGAAAAACAGCUAACAGCAAAGUGUGAUCAACUAAAAGAACAGCAAUCAAAAUAUGAACAAGAACUCGAAGAAAUUCUACUCGAAUAUAAUGAAAUAAAACAACAUUUACAACGUAAUGAAAUAUAUGCUGAAAUUAAUACAUUAGAGAGUACAGUAGAAAAGUUAACAGAAGAACAUGAAAAAAUUAGAAAUUUUAUUGUUAAGCUAAAGGAACGUGGCAACUAUGGCCCAGUGAAAGAAAACACUUUUAGUUCAGUAACUAAUUAUAAUAUUAUAUUAAAAGAAAGUUUGAAAAUAAUUUAUUAAAUAAAAUCGUUUUUUUGUAGUUCUUAAUAAAUACUAUUAUACUAGGUGUGAUUCUCAAUCACGCGAUAGAAUUGUAGUUGUGAUCGACUCAGCCAAUAAUGGCAACGCGUGUAAGGCAUGCGUCGCUAUUACGCUACAGCCAAUCAGCGUGCCUUGCCGCCAAGUCAUCUCUCUCUGGUACUUGCGUGUCUAACGGAAUAAAUACCAUAGCGUCGACAAUGUACACGAUGAACUAGACAAUUCAAUGGAAGUUUGCCUUUGAUAAAUUGCAAUACCAGCCUUAGACGAGCGAUGGUCGUAGUUCCGAGAAGGGCGGUAAUUCCGGGAAAACACUUCAACAGAAAAUGAACUUGUCGAAACUUGUCGAAGCCGGGCACGCUACGUUAUAAGACGAAAGCAAAUUUUACGAGGAACCGAAGCAACGCUCGUAAGUAAUGUAAACAAUAAACAAAUAGAUCAAAGUAUUCGAAACAUUUACAGGAAACCUAGUACAUAAAUGCUAGCACGAGUGUACCUCGUUUGUAUUUCCUUUAAUGCCGAUAGCCAAUAAAAUGAAACGCGGACUAUUCCAGAAAAUGAUACUUACAUUUUCAAGAAAAAAAAAAACAUUAAAUCUAAAAAAAUUUCUACAAUAGCGCAUUUCAUGGAAAGGAUAGUAAUACAACGCAAAUUGCGGUUUUGCUGUUUAUAAUUUUAUUUUUACAAUUUUGGUGCAUUCGGGGAAAAAUAUUUUUUCUUUUUUUUUCAAGUAGAUAUUUAACGUCGCAUCGACAUCCAACUCAUUAGCGACAGGUUUCUGUAUUAGGUUUAAAAUUUUGUAUCAUUUUUAGAACGUCGAAUUAUUUGGUGUUGAGAAAUACAUGAUUGUUAAUAUUCAUGAAUUUUGAAUAUGCAACGUAUAAGUACAUUUAUGAACGAAACCACCGGAUAUAAUUCAGAUCAUAGUGAGCAAAUAAAUAUAUUCGAUAUAAAAAGUAUGCACACACACACGCACGC